ACAGGUGGUGCAUGGUUGUCGUCAGCUCGUGUCGUGAGAUGUUGGGUUAAGUCCCGCAACGAGCGCAACCCCUGUGGUUAGUUGCCAUCAUUUAGUUGGGCACUCUAAGCAGACUGCCGUGGAUAACACGGAGGAAGGUGGGGAUGACGUCAAAUCAUCAUGCCCCUUAUGACCUGGGCUACACACGUGCUACAAUGGUCUGAACAGAGGGCUGCGAAACCGCAAGGUGAAGCCAAUCCCUUAAAACAGAUCUCAGUUCGGAUUGCAGGCUGAAACUCGCCUGCAUGAAGUUGGAGUUGCUAGUAAUCGCGGAUCAGAAUGCCGCGGUGAAUGCGUUCCCGGGUCUUGUACACACCGCCCGUCACACCACGAGAGUUGGCAACACCCGAAGUCAGUGAGACAACCGUAAGGAGUCAGCUGCCGAAGGUGGGGUCGGUAAUUGGGGUGAAGUCGUAACAAGGUAGCCGUAUCGGAAGGUGC
rnacentral:rRNA from 2 species